rnacentral:rRNA from 1 species
CUACGGGAGGCAGCAGUGGGGAAUUUUGGACAAUGGGGGCAACCCUGAUCCAGCCAUGCCGCGUGAGUGAAGAAGGCCUUCGGGUUGUAAAGCUCUUUCGGACGGGAAGAAAUGGGGCUCUCUAACAUAGGGCGUCGAUGACGGUACCGUAAGAAGAAGCACCGGCUAACUACGUGCCAGCAGCCGCGGUAAUACGUAGGGUGCGAGCGUUAAUCGGAAUUACUGGGCGUAAAGCGUGCGCAGGCGGUUGUGUAAGACAGGUGUGAAAUCCCCGGGCUUAACCUGGGAACGGCGCUUGUGACUGCACGGCUAGAGUACGGCAGAGGGGGGUGGAAUUCCACGUGUAGCAGUGAAAUGCGUAGAGAUGUGGAGGAACACCGAUGGCGAAGGCAGCCCCCUGGGCCUGUACUGACGCUCAUGCACGAAAGCGUGGGGAGCAAACAGGAUUAGAAACCCGUGUAGCC